UACGGAGGGUGCAAGCGUUAUCCGGAUUCACUGGGUUUAAAGGGUGCGUAGGAGGGCAGGUAAGUCAGUGGUGAAAUCUCCGGGCUUAACUCGGAAACUGCCGUUGAUACUAUCUGUCUUGAAUACCGUGGAGAUGAGCGGAAUAUGUCAUGUAGCGGUGAAAUGCUUAGAUAUGACAUAGAACACCAAUUGCGAAGGCAGCUGGCUACAGGGAUAUUGACACUGAGGCACGAAAGCGUGGGGAUCAAACAGG
rnacentral:rRNA from 1 species